GUGGGGAAUAUUGGACAAUGGGCGAAAGCCUGAUCCAGCCAUGCCGCGUGUGUGAAGAAGGUCUUCGGAUUGUAAAGCACUUUAAGUUGGGAGGAAGGGCAGUAAGUUAAUACCUUGCUGUUUUGACGUUACCGACAGAAUAAGCACCGGCUAACUUCGUGCCAGCAGCCGCGGUAAUACGAAGGGUGCAAGCGUUAAUCGGAAUUACUGGGCGUAAAGCGCACGUAGGCGGAUCAGAAAGUCAGAGGUGAAAUCCCAGGGCUCAACCUUGGAACUGCCGCCAAAACUGCAUGACUAGAGUACGGUAGAGGGUAGUGGAAUUUCCUGUGUAGCGGUGAAAUGCGUAGAUAUAGGAAGGAACACCAGUGGCGAAGGCGACUACCUGGACUGAUACUGACACUGAGGUGCGAAAGCGUGGGGAGCAAACAGGAUUAGAUACCCCAGUAGUCC
rnacentral:rRNA from 1 species